GUUGGGAAUUGAAGCCCCUUGAAGGGCCAGGGGGGUCCAACCUGUGUCCCUCCUCCCCCGGCGUCUUCGCGGCGUCAGCACCUGAA